UUUGGAAAAAAAAAAAUAGUGAAGUUGCAGUUGUAGCUGAAGCAGUGUGGCUCCAGUGUCCACAUUAUUCACCAUAUGCUACAUUUUCUCUCUAAGAAUGUCUCAGAUCUUAUACGUACAUACUUGGUGAUAGACUUAUAGUCACUAUUUACUGUAAUCAUGAAAUCCCAUUUCCCACUGACUACCAUUUUUCAGUAAGAGUCAUGAGCUUGGAAAUUUUUAUUUAAUUAUAAAUUUAUAAAAAAUGAAAAAAAAUGUUAGCAGAAUACCAUAAAGGAGAAGUACACUCAUAGUUCUGCAGAUAGUUGACUAGAAAGGAGUCUGAAUUUCUCAAAUGUAAUCCUAUUGUUUUCCAGUGAGCAAACUGAGAUAAGACUUGUAAAUGCGUUCAGAAAAUGACCCAAAUCCAUGACUUUUUACACUGAACAUGGAAUUUCUACUAGAACAUGCUUCAUUUUGGAAUCUGGACACAACAGUGAAGAUGUGCUCUGUGACACAGUGGAUAUGAUCAUAUUCCUGUUCAUUAUUCCAUUACAGGUCCUGUUCUCC
rnacentral:lncRNA from 1 species